UGAGGAUGAAGCAGCUUCAUGGCCGGAGAUCGGGCGCCUCCCAUCAGUUUCCCUUUUCAGCAAUAGAGGCCUUGGAGGCCUUUCUACCUGCGUUGCAUCCUGUGGCUGGACCACUCCAACGAUCUCGGCAGAAUCGUUACACAGGAAGAAGUCUGGCUGGCCCCAAGCCUGGU
rnacentral:lncRNA from 1 species